rnacentral:rRNA from 1 species
UGCAAGUCGAACGCAAGGCUUCGGCCUUGAGUGGCGCACGGGUGAGUAGUGCGUGGGAACCUGCCCUGGAGUGGGGGAUAACCGAGGGAAACUUCGGCUAAUACCGCAUGCGCCCGGAGCAAUCCGGGGAAAGAUUUAUCGCUCUAGGAGGGGCCCGCGUCGGAUUAGCUAGUUGGUGGGGUAACGGCCUACCAAGGCGAUGAUCCGUAGCUGGUCUGAGAGGAUGAUCAGCCACACUGGGACUGAGACACGGCCCAGACUCCUACGGGAGGCAGCAGUGGGGAAUAUUGGACAAUGGGCGAAAGCCUGAUCCAGCAAUGCCGCGUGAGUGAGGAAGGCCUUAGGGUUGUAAAGCUCUUUCGGCGGGGACGAUGAUGACGGUACCCGCAGAAGAAGCCCCGGCUAACUUCGUGCCAGCAGCCGCGGUAAUACGAAGGGGGCGAGCGUUGUUCGGAUUUACUGGGCGUAAAGGGCGCGCAGGCGGUCGUGUUUGUCGAGUGUGAAAGCCCCGGGCUC